AUUGAACGCUGGCGGCAGGCCUAACACAUGCAAGUCGAACGGGUGUCGGGCGGGUGAGACAUGUGUGUGAGACUGCCCGAUGGAGGGGGCUACCUACUGUGGACGGUAGCUCAUCCCACGUCCCAUCGGGUGUGCGCAGAUGGAGUUAGCUAGUGGGUGGGGUAACGGCUCACCUAGGCGACGAUCCCUAGCUGGUCUGAGAGGAUGACCAGCCACACUGGAACUGAGACACGGUCCAGACUCCUACGGGAGGCAGCAGUGGGGAAUAUUGCACAAUGGGCGCAAGCCUGAUGCAGCCAUGCCGCGUGUAUGAAGAAGGCCUUCGGGUUGUAAAGUACUUUCAGCGAGGAGGCGUUACUCGCAGAAGAAGCACCGGCUAACUCCGUGCCAGCAGCCGCGGUAAUUC
rnacentral:rRNA from 1 species